rnacentral:rRNA from 1 species
UACGGAGGAUGCGAGCGUUAUCCGGAUUUAUUGGGUUUAAAGGGUGCGUAGGCGGAAUGCCAAGUCAGCGGUAAAAUCGCGGGGCUCAACCUCGCUCCGCCGUUGAAACUGGCGUUCUUGAGUGGGCGAGAAGUAGUGCGGAAUGCGUGGUGUAGCGGUGAAAUGCAUAGAUAUCAACGCAGAACUCCGAUUGCGAAGGCAGCAUACCGGCGCCCGACUGACGCUGAAGCACGAAAGCGUGGG